GACAGAGGUGCCAAGCGUUAGGCGGAAUCACUGGGCUUAAAGCGUGUGUAGGCGGGCGAUCAAGUACCUUGUGAAAUCCCACGGCUCAACCGUGGAACUGCUGGGUAUACUGGUUGUCUUGAGCCAGCUAGGGGCGAGCGGAACAGACGGUGGAGCGGUGAAAUGCGUAGAGAUCCGGAAGAACACCGGUGGCGAAGGCGGUCUGCUGGGGUAAUGCUGACACUGAUGCGCGACAGCGUGGGGAGCAAACAGG
rnacentral:rRNA from 1 species